rnacentral:rRNA from 1 species
UGGGGAAUAUUGGACAAUGGGCGAAAGCCUGAUCCAGCAAUGCCGCGUGAGUGAUGAAGGCCUUAGGGUUGUAAAGCUCUUUUACCAGGGAUGAUAAUGACAGUACCUGGAGAAUAAGCUCCGGCUAACUCCGUGCCAGCAGCCGCGGUAAUACGGAGGGAGCUAGCGUUGUUCGGAAUUACUGGGCGUAAAGCGUACGUAGGCGGUUAUUCAAGUCAGAGGUGAAAGCCUGGAGCUCAACUCCAGAACUGCCUUUGAAACUAGAUAGCUAGAAUCACGGAGAGGUGAGUGGAAUUCCGAGUGUAGAGGUGAAAUUCGUAGAUAUUCGGAAGAACACCAGUGGCGAAGGCGGCUCACUGGACGUGUAUUGACGCUGAGGUACGAAAGCGUGGGGAGCAAACAGGAUUAGAUACCCUAGUAGUCCCUGAGCGGGCUGGCAAGGCGCAU